ACCGUUAGCGUCACUUGAAAAUUACUCCCGGGUUUGCAAGUUUACCGUUGCACAAACAAGUCUUCUUGCAACUUGAAAGUUUUUAAAAGCUCAAAAUGGCAGCAAGGAAAGCAGCAGCAGCAAAGUCUCCCGCAAAGAAGGCCGCGGCCAAGCCAAAGAAGGGUGUGAAGAAAGGAGGUGUGAAAAAAGCCACAAAGAAGGCAGCCCCUGCAAAGAAAGCAGCAAAGAAAGGAGCAAAGAAGGCAGCAAAAAAGGCAGUAAAGGGAAAGAAAGCAGCAAAGAAGUGAAGCUAGCACCAUGUCACCUCAAUGCCUUGUCAUCAUCCAGCCAUUACUGUUCAUUCAUCUGUUGUCUUUCUUGUUGACUGAGGCGGGUGUUUUAUACUGAACUUUAGUAAUAUAUGUUUUUAUUGACUGUAGAUAAUUUAUGAAUUGUAGAUUUUUAUUCAUUUAAAAAAUAAAGAUCUGGAUAUUAACCUGCAUCUUUUCAUGAAUUGCCUCAACAUAUUAAAAAUUUAAAGUCAUUAACAUAGCAAAAAUCCAACUCAUAUUUAUCAACGGAAUCCGUUGCAGAAAUACUCCUGUCUUGGAAUGACAUAUUGUCAAACUUAGAAUGAAGAUGUGUGUAAUAAAACUUUAAUAACAAAAGA